rnacentral:rRNA from 1 species
AUACGGAGGACGCGAGCGUUAUCCGGAUUCAUUGGGUUUAAAGGGUGCGCAGGCGGCCGUGCAAGUCAGCGGUGAAAGCCCGGGGCUCAACCCCGGAAGUGCCGUUGAUACUGCAUGGCUGGAAUGCGGUCGAGGCGGGCGGAACGGGGCGUGUAGCGGGGAAAUGCGUGGAUAUGCCACAGAAAGCCGAUAGCGGAGGCAGCUCGCCAGGCCUGCAUUGACGCUCGGGCACGAAAGCGUGGGGAUCGAACAGGAUUAGAUACCCUGGUAGUCCACGCCGUAAACGAUGGGCGCUCGUCGUCGGCGGCAGACAGUCGGCGGCCAAGCGAAAGCGAUAAGCGCCCCACCUGGGGAGUACGGUCGCAAGGCUGAAACUCAAAUGAAUUGACGGGG